ensembl:lncRNA
AGGGCAUGGAGGAAAGGUAAUUUGUUUAACAAAUAAAGUGCAGAAAUAGACAAAACAGGACCGUAAGCCAUUAAAGACCUUGCAGUUCUUGUGUUCAGAAGCUUCCCAGACCUGAAGAGCAUCGUGCGUUGAGUUUGAGGUGUAGAGACCUGCUGCUGCUCCUGACCUUCUGCAGGCUGGUGCUGGCUGACCUGCCCACUGCUGCGCUCUGCAGGGACAACGCUGGUGUCCUCACUGCUCCUCUGCUCCAGGACUGAACAGCCAAAGCCCAGCUCACCUUAUCAGAGCCAUCGUUUGUGAAGUUGCCUUGGAGCUGGUAGAGUUCUGGGUAGGUUUUUACUCAAAUACCAAUGAAGCUGUGCAGGUUUCUGGGGUUGUACUUCAGCCAGACUUCAGCAAUUGCAACAGGACAAUGUGCCAAACCAGCUGUAAGGCUGCCUAAUUACUGAAAGGAUGCUCCCUACCUGUUGUUCCAGCCAGCUCUGAUUGGUAUCUGUGAACUGGGAUUUCCCCUGGUGAGUCUGUGUUCAGGCUUGCUUAGUAUGAACGGAAGGUUGGAGAGAACAGGCAGAUGUCUGGCAAACUGCACAGUCCAGCAAGGGGACUUUUCUCUUACUACAGAAGCAAAUGAUGUUGAGCAGCCAGCAAGCUGUAAAUCAUAAUAUGGGUAAAAUAGCAGUGGGCAUAGACCAGUGCUAAUUCAUGAGCAUUAUUGUUCUUAUA